rnacentral:lncRNA from 10 species
AGCCCACAGGGGUCUGAGGUUGAUCCCGGAGGCGCGAGGAGUCGGUGAACAAGCCGAGAUUCUUGUGGCGUGAUAGGACUUGUGGUCGCCACGAAGGGGCCAGCUCCAUCGGGAAUCUGUAAUCGCCCAGCAGUUUCCCCGCCCCGCGCAUGUGAAAUAUGUAGCCCUCCGUAUUCAUUCUAGAAACUUCUGGGAACCCAGCGCCUUGGGGAGAUAGAACCGAGCCAGAUGUUCCCCCGCUGCGAGGAACUCAGAACCUGCAUAAAUAGAGAAGGUGGCAGGCAUAUAGUAGGGAGACCAGUAAUUCCAUUGAGCGCUGAUUUUGGGCCAGGCACGAUACAAGCAUUAUCUCUGCAAAACAUCUUAUUCAUUCGUUCAGCAAACGUUUCUUGAACUCUCAGAAGGAUGAAGGAAGUUUACCCAGCUACCUAUCAGCCUCCUGUGUCUUAAGCAGAGUGGAGACGGGGGUGGAUCCAGGCGCACCAGUUCCACGCCACAGGCUUCUGCAGUUCCUGCAAACUGUUCCCAUCCCGCCCCGCGUUGCACGUCGGGAUUUGGAGUUCGCGAUGCUGAGAGCUGUUUCCACGUGGCGAUUCCGACUUGACCCGUCGUGCUCCGGCGCCCGCCUAGGGGGACCGAGGAGUUUGUCAUUUCUUGCCUCGUUAGGGUGCGGAACGAAAACCAUUUGAUUUAUCCUAGAAAAGGAAAGGCUGAAGCCAACUAAGUAAAAGUUUUCCAUUAAAUGAAUGCACGUUGUAGAAAAGGAAUGUUCAACUGCCCUACAAAUCCAGAGGUAGAAAUGGGGGAGGGGAGAAGGAAUUAAAUAGGACACACACACACACACACAAACACACACACACACACACUCUUGGGGGGGUGUUUGGGUAUGGAAAGUAGGUCCGAUUGCAGAAUUUAUUUUAAAUGAUUCCCGCAACCUUGGGAAGUUGGGAAGUGGUGAAUCCGCUGCCGAAAGGCAUUUGUGCUUAUGGUAAAUCCAGGUCUUAAAAUUCUGUAGACUGGUAGCUAUAUGGAUAUGAUUUUAAUAGACGAGUUUCAGGAAGACUCUCUCAAACUGUUUUUUGUUGUUGUUGUUUAAAAACUUACUUGAAAUAUAUUGGAAACCACAUAUACAUAAUCUCUCACACACACUACAUAAAGAAGUAAAAAUUCCUUUCCCUACUUCUUUCAUCCUAUCCAAUUUGUAGAGUCAUAACCAUUCUUAAUAAUUUGAUGGGUAUUCAUUUCUUCCCUAAAUUUAUAUGUCUAGAACUAGAGCUAGAGUGUAUGCCUACAUACACACACACACACACCCAUACAUAUAUAUUCAAACAUAAUAUAUGUAUAUCCACAUGUAUUCAAACACAGAAUUAUGUUUAGAUAAUUAUGGUUAUAUGCUGGUAUGCCAGAGCCAGACUGCCUGGCUUCGGUUCCAGGCCCUAGUUGGAUAGCUUUGGGCUACUCAGCCUCUUUAUGCCUGGACUUCUUCAUCUUUGAAAUGGGAUAAUAAUAAUACUUAUCCCAUAAAGUUAUUGUGAGAAUUAAAUGAAAUAAUAUAUGAAAAGCCCUUAGAACAGGCAUUGACACAUUGUGAAGGUAAUGUAUUAGCUAUUUUGAUGAUUAUGCAUUUUGUCUGCAACUUGAUUUUUAUUUAACAUAUGUGGGAAAGUAGACAAACAUAGCCAUUUUCAAUGAUUCCAUAAUAUUCCAUAGCACGAGUAUACCAUUGUUUAUCGAACCAUUUCUCUCUUGAGAAACAUUGCAGAUUUUUUUUGCAGUUUCUACGAUUACAAAUAAUGCUGCAAUAAACAUCUUUCUACAUAUAG